CAGGAUGAACGCUGGCGGCGUGCUUAACACAUGCAAGUCGAACGGAGCUUAAGAAGGAAGCUUGCUUCAUUUAAGCUUAGUGGCGGACGGGUGAGUAACGCGUGAGCAACCUGCCCUUCAGUGGGGAAUAACACCGAGAAAUCGGUGCUAAUACCGCAUAAUGUCGGAGGACCGCAUGAUCUUCCGACCAAAGGAUUUAUUCGCUGAAGGAUGGGCUCGCGUCCGAUUAGGCAGUUGGCGGGUAACGGCCCACCAAACCAACGAUCGGUAGCCGAACUGAGAGGUUGAUCGGCCACAUUGGGACUGAGACACGGCCCAGACUCCUACGGGAGGCAGCAGUGGGGAAUAUUGGGCAAUGGGCGAAAAAGCCUGACCCAGCAACGCCGCGUGAAGGAUGAAGGUCUUCGGAUUGUAAACUUCUUUGAUUGGGGAAGAAUAAAUGACCUACCCAAAGAACAAGUCACGGCUAACUACGUGCCAGCCGCCGC
rnacentral:rRNA from 1 species